GCGAAGAGGUCCCGCAUGGCGUGGGCGUGCGCGUGGAUGAAUUUACCGAGCGCGAAAAUGGAAUGCUAUAUAUUGCCGCCACGAUCUUCGUGGAGCGCAUUUCUCAAAAGGGAAUCCUGAUCGGCGAGGGCGGGAGUAUGAUGAAAACCAUCGGCUCCAUGGCCCGCAAAGAGAUCGAGGACAUGGGCGGACGAAAAGUAUUUCUGGAGUUGCGCGUCAAGGUCUUGAAGGACUGGCGCAACAAUGAAAAUUCGAUGAUGCGGUUGGGAUAUAAGAUCAAGAAGAAAAAGAAAUCAAUAAAGAAAUAACCGCGUAGGGUAAACCAUGUAGGGUCGGGCAGCUGCCCGACCCUACAUGGUUAUCUAUUCACACUGCACCGAUUGCUUCUCCACUGGCAGCCCAAAUGCCUCAUAAACGGGAACCCCAUUCCAAUCAUCAGGAGUAUCCAAACCUAACGCGAACGCGGCAGUAGCGGCUGUGUCCAUUGUGUGGACGGUUGUCGUUAAUUGCUUCGGCUGAAUUCCGGGUCCCGACGCGAUCCAGGGAAUGGUCAUAUCUUCGGGCAUGGAUGAGCCGUGCGUUGUAUCAUGCCCGCCGUGAUCAGCUGUGACGAUGAAUGAGAGUCUCACUUCGCAGGUUGCGCGCAUCCAGUUCAGCC
rnacentral:misc_RNA from 1 species